rnacentral:lncRNA from 1 species
UUAGUUUUACAUUUCUUUAAUUAUUUAUUAAAGUUGUACGAUUGUGUGUGUAUGUGAGUAGAGAUGUCAAGUGGGCCUUUCCGGCACGGCACGACACGAGCAUGACACGAAAAAAUUCGGCACGGGCACGAUUUCGGCACGGUAUAAGUUGGGCACGGCACAGCAUGACACGGUCUGAGCGGGCACGAGUACGGGCACGGGGCACAGAAAUGGUGGAG